AUUGAACGCUGGCGGCAGGCCUAACACAUGCAAGUCGAACGAGUGGCGGACGGGUGAGUAAUGUCUGGGAAACUGCCCGAUGGAGGGGGGUAACUACUGGAAACGGUAGCUAAUACCGCAUACCAUCGGAUGUGCCCAGAUGGGAUUAGCUAGGAGGUGGGGUAACGGCUCACCUAGGCGACGAUACUUAGCUGGUCUGAGAGGCUGACAAGACACGCUGGAACGGAGACACGGGCCAGACUCCUACGGGAGGCGGCAGUGGGGAAUAUUGCACAAGGUGCGAAAGCCUAAUGCAGCCAUGCCGCGGGUAUGAAGAAGGCCUUCGGGUUGUAAAGUACUUUCAGCGAGGAGGCGUUACUCGCAGAAGAAGCACCGGCUAACUCCGUGCCAGCAGCCGCGGUAAUUC
rnacentral:rRNA from 1 species